UCUCAUUCAUUGCUGGUAGAAAUGCAAAAUGGUAGAGCCACUUGGAAGACAGUUCAGCAGCUUCUUAUAAAACAAAACAUACUCUUACUAUCUACU